CGAAGAGUGGCUAUUAUUUUAAAAGAAAUUCUCAUAGAAAGAAUGUUGGAUUUAAAAUAAAUAAAUGCGCUCAUGGAAGCUGAAUAAAACUGUAAUACUUCCUUCCUCACUCUCACAGAGGGGAUUGCCUGGCUCACCUGUGUCUGCUUCAAGGUGUGGAAUUACAACCUCUGCUUCUUGCAGCAUACAAUAUCCAGGAUCUCACAAGACAGAACAAAAAAAAUGGAGAAAAGAGCAGUCCUUGGAAUCCUGUGUCUAGGAAUACACCAUUGCUUGAUGAUCUUAACUCCAAGUUUGAAUGCUGAGCCAUUCUUCAGGACUACUGAGGGCACCCAUACCAAAACUGUCCACCUGGAAGCAUCUCUUAGACAAUCUUAAUUUAAAAACUUCUGGGUAGCCCAGGUGGCUCAGCGAUUUAGCACCGUUCUUCAGCCCAGGGUGUGAUCCUGAAGACUCGGGAUUGAGUCCCAUGUCAGGCUCCCUGCAUGGAGCCUGCCUCUCCCUCUCCUUGUGUUUCUGCCUCUCUCUCUCUCUUUCUCUUCCUCUCUGUGUCCCUCAUGAAUAAAUAAAUAAAAUCUUUAAAAAAAUAAUAAAAA
rnacentral:lncRNA from 1 species